rnacentral:rRNA from 1 species
GCAGGAUUUCUUUCUAUCUUAGUGGCGGACGGGUGAGUAACGUGUGGGCAACCUGCCCUGUACUGGGGAAUAAUCACUGGAAACGGUGACUAAUACCGCAUGUGGUCCUCGGGAGGCAUCUCUUGAGGAAGAAAGGAUUUAUUCGGUACAGGAUGGGCCCGCAUCUGAUUAGCUAGUUGGUGAGAUAACAGCCCACCAAGGCGACGAUCAGUAGCCGACCUGAGAGGGUGAU